AAACAGAAUAAGUACGGAAAUUAUAGCAUGAGAGCACAAAAACCAUCAGGAAUAUUCAUUGAUGAAUUUCGAUAGAAAAGAGAGGGCAAUACCACUAAGCUACCUUGUAUACCCACAGUAAUAUUCUAAGACCUAGAAAUUAUAACAAGGGAAAUCAAAUCAUAAUUAAAAUGAAAAAAGAUCAUAAAAUUGUGGCAGCCAUCAUUGUAGGUCAGGACAUAGGAUAACACAAAACAGGCACACUCAACAAACUUCACAGACAAGCAAACAUGUAUAUAUGAAAG
rnacentral:misc_RNA from 1 species